rnacentral:lncRNA from 1 species
GACCCUGGAACGUUUGAACCUGCGGUCGGGAUACUGGCUGUUGUCAAAAGGCAUUCGAUGGACGCAGAGGACGAUCUCAGUCACCACCCCUAUCCUGAGCUUUAAGACCAACACACCACCACCACCACUACCACCAACACCACCACCACCACCACCACCACCACCACCACCGUCUAUGACAUCACAGCCACUUAGCAGACUUAAAGGAGAAGGGGAAGGGAAGCAGCCCGUUAGACACAUUGAGUGAGAUUCAGACUCCCCUCCCAUUCUGACCAGAAUUUUUAGUCUUGACUUUCCAGAAGAGAGAACAGAAACCAUUCAAUAUCUAGAACCAUUUCAAGAAAACUAGAUAUUUACAGAACAAGAAACGAGGCAAACUAUUCCAUUUUUCACAUUUAUUUCUUGUGAGUGUGUAUAUACACAUACACACACCUGUGCCCUUAGACUUAUGCACACAUGUCACAGAUGUUAUACAUCCUGAACUCUUUAUUAAUGUCAGACCAAGCAUGAGGAGUAAAUGUGUCUGGAGGGUAAGGGAGACAGAUGCUGAAUAGCCCUGCUCUAAGCAACACUGUAAGGAAUGACUGUACUGCACAGCUUUAGAAGUUAGGAGAGUCAGAGUGGACAGAGGGACCACACGGAUCAGGUAAAGGAACAGUUGUGGUAUGCAACAGAUCUUGUCUGUCCUGUGAGCCUGGGAGCCUCUGAAGUAUCCAUACACUGCCACCUUCCAGCCUGUGCCACCCAGAAUGCACACCAUGUGGAGAAGAUCAAUCUGGGUGCUGCUGAGCAAGAACGCAGAGAACCAGCAGCAGGACUGGCCCACCAGCGUGAUGAUUGCCGCCUGUGUUUCUGCCACCUAGUUCUACCCUCGGGGCUUGGCCACCUUCCCAUAAAAACAGAGAAGGCCCUGAGUGGGAGAUGCAACCUUGGGAAGUUUGUUUAAGCAAAGGAAAGCACACUAAGAUAGACAUCAGUCCUAGAGGAAACAAAUGGAGAAGCCACGGUGUGUCCACUUCUCCUCCCUUGUUGGGACUCUAAAUAGGGCCUACGUAAGGAUCAACAGAUUUUGGACAAGUGAUCAGAAUAACACUGAGUGCCUAAAACUCAAUGACCUAAUUCACGAAGCCACCAUCCCUGCAUACACUAAAGGGACAAAGAUGAUGGACGAUUAUUCUGGCAGAUUCGGAUACUUCCGUGGUCGAAUCAUUAUUGGAUUGGUUUGCUUUUUGAACGUCGUCGGUGAAAUGGAAUCUGUGUGCGAAUGCAUCAGGAGCUCUGGAUGCAUUCACUGGAGGGGGUAAUCUGAGUAGUACUAGAAUUUCAAGAAGUCUGGGUCGUUCUACAGCCUUGGUUGAACUCCAUGGAAGUUUUGUCAAGAAGUCAUAUCGCCUCCACUGUACACAUGGGGAAGUUAAGACCCAGCCAAUCUGAAAGAUCUGCAUUCAGACCAAGCUUCCAAUGCACACAGUGUACUCUGAAUCUUUAAUUCCCCAAAUGUGCACAGGGACUUCCCUAGUUAGUUUCAGCUGUUGACUUCAUGCAAACUAGAGUCACUCAGGAAGAAGCCAUCACAAGUGAGACAUUGCCUUCAUCGGACUGCCUUGGAUGUAGCAGGUCACGCCCUGCUGAGGGUGGUGCCAUUACCUAGGUUGAGGCUUGCUGAGCACAGAAUCCCCUGCUAGAAGGAGCUCCUGCAGAUGGCAGGACUGGAGAGAGCCUGAGUCCAAACAGCCUUGUGAGACCGUGCAGGUUGUUGAAGAACCAGUAAGGAUUCCAGAUAGGAUACCUCUGCUUCUGGAAUGACUUCUUGAUUGUUCUAAACCCAUCAUUGUGGCUGUCAAAGACGUGACUUCAGUCCCACUCUUAACGUCAAAAGCUGAGCAAGUAAAAUAGCCAUGCCUGAUCCUCUCCAAGAAGACUAGUAACACCAUGAGGACAGGGGCCCUGGGGUUUUGUUGAGGGAGGGGUGGUUCAUUUGUUUGCUUGCUUGCUGGCUUGUUCUGAUAUUGCUGUUAGCUAUUACGACAUGACUCAAGCUCAUCACAGACAUCAGUAUUUUUCUAGCAGC